ensembl:lncRNA MAP3K14-AS1 MAP3K14 antisense RNA 1
ACUGUUCCCCACCCCUACCCAGCUGUGUGAGGACCCCUGCCACGUUCUAGCACAGCCCCUCUAUGGGAGCUGCGGGGCUGGCCUCACUCACUCUUCCUUGCUUCCCUGCAGCAGAGGGGACGUGGCUGGUGGCUGGAGAAGCUGGAUUUGCCCUUUGAUGGUGGCCCUCUUGAUCCCCGGCUUGCUGAAGUCAAAGGAGAGGCUGUCGAUGCUGAGGCACGAGAGAAUUUGCUCCUGCUCCUCCAGAGAAAAUGGCUGGGACAGGCUGUUGAGGAAUAAUUCUGCAGGGAAAAGUGGAAGAUGGCUGUGAAAGACUGGGAGGAGGCUGGCUGUGUUUUCAGGGGUUCUUCCUGCACAGUCGGUAGAAGCUGAGCUGCUGGGGAAGGGGCUGGAAGAAAGCCCACACCGCAGGUAAAGAGAAACACCGGCCUCCGCGGGUGGCCCAGGGCCAGUGCUCAGGGCCCCACUGCAGCCACGGCUGCCCGUACCUAUUUCCAGCUGCUGCAGUUCCUGCUCCGGGACGGUUGCUUUCCGCUCUGGUGAGCUGGGGUUUCUGGCAGGGGCUGGCUCCAG